GGAAUUUUGAUGUUAGCUUACAGUGGUGCUAUAGCAGUUGGCAUUUACAUGCCUCAGGCUUUCAAGCGUUAUUUAAUGUUGUCUGCUCACCCAAUCUUGACCGUAUGGUUACUUUUUCAGGCGAAAAAGUU